UAGGGAAUAUUGCUUAAUGGGCGAAAGCCUGAAGCAGCAACGCCGCGUGAACGAAGAAGGCCUUCGGGUCGUAAAGUUCUUUUACGUGGGAUGAGGAAGGACAGUACCACGAGAAUAAGUCUCGGCUAACUACGUGCCAGCAGCCGCGGUAAAACGUAGGAGACGAGCGUUAUCCGGAUUUACUGGGCGUAAAGCGCGUGUAGGAGGCGCUACAAGUUGGAUGUGAAAGCUCCCGGCUUAACUGGGAGAGGUCGUUCAAGACUGUAGGGCUGGAGUGAGGGAGAGGUAGAUGGAACUCCGGGAGUAGGGGUGAAAUGCGUAGAUAGCCGGAAGAACACCAGAGGCGAAAGCGAUCUACUGGGCGUAAACUGACACUGAGACGCGAAAGCGAGGGUAGCAAA
rnacentral:rRNA from 1 species